rnacentral:tRNA from 1 species
GGAUUGUGGCUCAGUGGUAGAGCACUUGCCUCGCAUGUGUGAGGCAUUGGGUUCCAUCCUCAACGCCA